AUAUCAAUAAGCGGAGGAAAAGAAACCAACAGGGAUUGCCCUAGUAACGGCGAGUGAAGCGGCAACAGCUCAAAUUUGAAAUCUGGCCCCCCGGGUCCGAGUUGUAAUUUGUAGAGGAUGCUUCGGCGUCGGACCCGGUCCAAGUUCCUUGGAACAGGACGUCACAGAGGGUGAGAAUCCCGUACGUGGCCGGUGUCCUUCGCCAUGUGAGGCUCCUUCAACGAGUCGAGUUGUUUGGGAAUGCAGCUCUAAGUGGGAGGUAAAUUUCUUCUAAAGCUAAAUACCGGCCAGAGACCGAUAGCGCACAAGUA
rnacentral:rRNA from 1 species